rnacentral:rRNA from 1 species
ACUGACAGCCAUGGUUACCGCGGCUGCUGGCACGGAGUUAGCCGGUGCUUCUUCUGUGAGUGAUGUCCUUCCUGCCGGCUAUUAACCCGCAGGCCUUCUUCCUCACUGAAAGUGCUUUACAACCCGAAGGCCUUCUUCACACACGCGGCAUGGCUGGAUCAGGGUUGCCCCCAUUGUCCAAUAUUCCCCACUGCUGCCUCCCGUAGGAGUCUGGGCCGUGUCUCAGUCCCAGUGUGGCUGAUCAUCCUCUCAGACCAGCUACGGAUCGUCGCCUUGGUGAGCCGUUACCUCACCAACCAGCUAAUCCGACAUAGGCUCAUCCGAUAGCGCGAGGCCCGAAGGUCCCCCGCUUUCCCCCCGUAGGGCGUAUGCGGUAUUAGCCUGGGUUUCCCCAGGUUAUCCCCCAUACCGGGCAGAUUCCUAUGCAUUACUCACCCGUCCGCCGCUCGCCACAAGGGAGCAAGCUCCCCGGUGCUGCCGCUCGACUUGCAUGUGUUAGGCCUGCCGCC